CAAUAGCGUAUAUUAAAGUUGUUGCGGUUAAAAAGCUCGUAGUUGGAUUUUGGGUCCGCUUUUGUUGGGCAGGUGUAAACUUGAUCUGACAGAACGGACCUUCUGUCUGGAGGUAGCGUCCUUCAACUUCAUUGGGCUGGAUGCUACGUCUAGGACUUUUACUUUGAACAAAUUAGAGUGUUUAAAGCAGGCUAACGCCUUGAAUACAUUAGCAUGGAAUAACCGAAUAGGACUUUGGUUCUAUUUUGUUGGUUUUAAGAACCGAAGUAAUGAUUAAUAGGGAUAGUUGGGGGCAUUCGUAUUUAAUUGUCAGAGGUGAAAUUCUUAGAUUUAUUGAAGACGAACUUCUGCGAAAGCAUUUGCCAAGGAUGUUUUCAUUAAUCAAGAACGAAAGUUAGGGGAUCGAAGACGAUUAGAUACCAU
rnacentral:rRNA from 1 species